CAUGAAAUUUCCCGCCACAUUCUAACAUGUCAAUCCUGUACUCGGCAUGACUGGCAAGUUUGUUGUACAUCGCAGCAGCUGUACGAAACAAGUGGAGUGGGGAAAGACGGGACACUAAAGCACAAAAUAAAACACGAGGAAUUAUUGAGCGAUUCGUACAACAAAUUAGGAAAAAAAUUAAUCAAAAGACCAACCCAGUUUCAACUGAAUAGCCAGCACUGCACUUGUUACAGAUGGCAGAAUUGUUGCUAUAGCCGUUUUUUGAGCAGUUGGUAAGACAU